GUCCACGCCGUAAACAAUGCACGCUAGAUCGGGGUGGCUCUGACGCCGGCUCGGUCGAAGCAAAAGCGAUAAGCGUGCCGCCUGGGGAGUACGGUCGCAAGGCUAAAACUCAAAGGAAUUGACGGGGGCUCACACAAGCGGUGGAGCAUGUUGCUUAAUUCGAGGCAACGCGAAGAACCUUACCUGGGGUUUGACAUGCUUGGAUUAACUCCUGGAAACAGGAGCCACGCCCGCAAGGGUGGAACAAGCACAGGUGCUGCAUGGCUGUCGU
rnacentral:rRNA from 1 species